rnacentral:snRNA from 1 species
ACAGAAGACUCUCCAUAUAU